AGCAGAGUGGCGCAGCGGAAGCGUGCUGGGCCCAAACCACAGAAGUUGAUGUAUCGAAACCAUCCACUGCUA
rnacentral:tRNA from 1 species